GUUAAGACUAUAAAAAUUCAAACUAGUUGCUGGAAUAUACUUUUGAUGUUUCUUGCUUAUAUCCUACAUAGUAAAAAUAUCUAAACAAAACUCAUUAAGCCAGACAAAUAUUUAGGUAUACAAUCAAAUACAAUCAUAUAACAUAUCUGUAUACUUUUAUAAUUAAAACUAUAAAAAGUCCUUAAUCUCAGAGGUCCUUAUUUAUAGCUAAGUGCCAUGCUUUUGACAUGUUAUUUGUUAAUAAAGUUGACUUCACUCAUUCGCUUCAGUAUUUCUAUAGUCUCAUAUGUGAGAUUUUCUAAUUGUAUACUACAUAUCUUUAUGAUCCUGGCAUCUUCCCAGUUAAUUGUUAUGUCUUCUUAUGCUAGUUUUCCUAAAUGCCAUAGUAAACUUACUGUCAUGAUGUCAUUCUUGUGCUCUGCAAGUCUCUCCUACAGAUUCCUUCUGGUCAUCCGUAUAUAGAAUUGUUCUACAUCACUACUGUUGUUCUUAAUUACUGAUAUACUCCACUCUUUUGACUGUGGCUAUAUUUGUCUUUGUCAUUUCUUAACCUAAUAAAGGUAAUAGGUCCUCUUUUAAAUAUCAUCUUUUUGUUCUGUUUUUUAGCUAGAUUCUUAGCUAUCUUCAUAUUGGCCAUAGAUGCCAGCAGGAUUGCAUAUUCUGCUCUUGAUUGCUCAUUGUUUGUGGUGCCUUCAACCUCAUUACUCUAUUUGUGUCAUUAUUUGGUCUCCCAAAUUUGAUUUUUAUUGUCCUAUAUAUGCCUUUCAUGAAAUUCAAUGUAAAACCAUACUCUUCUGUAAUCAAUGAAAAACUCUGAGUCUUUGAUUGUGGAAAAAAGUAUUUCAUUUUCUCUGAAUUUUUAUAAUUUAACAAAAUCAGUCAAGGAUUGAAAGACUCGUAGAGUUCUUCAUCAAUGACAACUUAGAUCCAAGAUUAAACUUAGAACAACAUAGCAGUGCAAACAUAUAAUUAUUUCAUAGAUCAAACAGUACUAUUAGCAGCUAAGUUUCUUUUUAUUUAGAGAAAUGUUUUUGGCCAUUAGACCAUCACACUACAAACUAUCAGUAACAGAAUACAAUUUAAAAAUUUAAUAUGGAAGAACUCUUGGUUAUUAUGGUAAUAGAAAAUAAUACAAUAUAUAAUGUAACUAAUUUAAUUAAAUAUUUACUAGUAAUAAUAUUUAAGACUAUAUCAAAGUCCUAGAUAUAGGCACAGGAAGCGGUGUGGCUUAUUAUCAUUUAGUAGGCGGGGACGUUUUCGGUGCGAAUGGUGCCAUCAUCAGUUGUGCAGGGCGGCAGACAUAAACAGGGGCGUUUUGCAGAGCGGAAUAGGGGAGCAUGG
rnacentral:lncRNA from 1 species